rnacentral:rRNA from 1 species
AUUGAACGCUGGCGGCAGGCCUAACACAUGCAAGUCGAGCGGAUGAAGGGAGCUUGCUCCUGGAUUCAGCGGCGGACGGGUGAGUAAUGCCUAGGAAUCUGCCUGGUAGUGGGGGAUAACGUCCGGAAACGGGCGCUAAUACCGCAUACGUCCUGAGGGAGAAAGUGGGGGAUCUUCGGACCUCACGCUAUCAGAUGAGCCUAGGUCGGAUUAGCUAGUUGGUGGGGUAAAGGCCUACCAAGGCGACGAUCCGUAACUGGUCUGAGAGGAUGAUCAGUCACACUGGAACUGAGACACGGUCCAGACUCCUACGGGAGGCAGCAGUGGGGAAUAUUGGACAAUGGGCGAAAGCCUGACCCAGCCAUGCCGCGUGUGUGAAGGAGGUCUUCGGAUUGUAAAGCACUUUAAGUUGGGAGGAAGGGCAGUAAGUUAAUACCUUGCUGUUUUGACGUUACCAACAGAAUAAGCACCGGCUAACUUCGUG